rnacentral:rRNA from 1 species
UACGUAGGGCGCGAGCGUUGUCCGGAAUUAUUGGGCGUAAAGCGCACGUAGGCGGCUUUGUAAGUUAGAGGUGAAAGCCCGGGGCUCAACUCCGGAAUUGCCUUUAAGACUGCAUCGCUAGAAUUGUGGAGAGGUAAGUGGAAUUCCGAGUGUAGAGGUGAAAUUCGUAGAUAUUCGGAAGAACACCAGUGGCGAAGGCGACUUACUGGACACAUAUUGACGCUGAGGUGCGAAAGCGUGGGGAGCAAACAGG